rnacentral:rRNA from 1 species
UACGUAGGGUGCAAGCGUUGUCCGGAUUUAUUGGCGUAAGAGCUCGUAGGCGGUUUGCCGCGUCUGCUGUGAAAACUCGGGGCUUAACCCCGGGCUUGCAGUGGGUACGGGCAGACUAGAGUGUGGUAGGGGAGACUGGAAUUCCUGGUGUAGCGGUGAAAUGCGCAGAUAUCAGGAGGACACCGAUGGCGAAGGCAGGUCUCUGGGCCACUACUGACGUGAGAAGCGAAAGCAUGGGGAGCGAACAGG